UAGGUACAAUACGCUGACGUCACGCAUCCGGGACUCCGGUCACGUGGGAAGAAACCCGGAAGUAUCGCUGUGAAUCACAUGAGAGCUGCAAAUGCGAUGUUGUGUAUUAGGCUGUACAUCAUAUUAACGUAAAGAGAGUGAUAAUAUAUAUCCUUUCAUCUAUUCCCGAGUGACUCAAAGGGAUAUUGGACCUUAUUUUCAGUGUCUGUGAUGUUGAAACACUAAAGGAAGAAGAGGAGGACCACCAUUUGUUUCCUGAUCAGAACACAAGAGAAGAAUCUAACAGUGGUUUGGGGGCAUUGCAAGACCAUGAUUACCACAUCUCCUAUUAUGGAAGAGCACAACAUCAUGCUCGCAACAUUUGUGUCCUGGAUCAGUUUUUCUUGUUUCUCUGCUGUAUAAGGCAGGGGCUUCUUUCCGCAGAUUUAGCUGUAAGAUUUAAAGGUCCCGUUUUUCCUGAUCCCAUUUUUUAAACUUUAGUUAGUGUGUAAUGUUGCUGUUAGAGCAUAAAUAAUACCUGUAAAUUAUAAAGCUCAAAAUUCAAUGCCAAGCGAUAUAUUUUCUUUAAUAGAAUUUCCCUUUUAAAGCAUACAGCAAACGAACGGUUUGGACUACAGCCCUCUACUUCCCGAUUGAAUGACAUCCAAAGAAGAGGUUUUUUUACUAACUCUCACCCACAGGAAUACGUCAGUCGCAAGCAAAGUUCAAAUGGCUCUGCUAAGCUAAGUUGCUGUUAAAUCAAAACACACUAAACAAACUACUACACAAUCAAAACUCGAUAUAUAUUUCUGAAGGAGGGACUUCAUAGAACAAGGAAGAAAUCAGCCCGAUUUUAGGACAGUGAAAACAGUGCUAUAGAGAUAAGUAAUUAUGUGAAAAAUACUGUGUUUUUUUACACACAAAACAUGAACACACGCUAUAUUGCACACCAUAAACACAAUCAUAGUUUAAAAACACAGGAAAAACAGGACCUUUAAUCUGUCCAAGGCAACAGUCAGUCGAAUAUGCAUAACAUGGGCUAAUGUCCAAACAUCUUUUCACUUCACAAGAGGUGCAAAGUUUGGACUCUCAUUCUCACGGCACCCAUUCACUGCAGAGGAUCCAAUUGUAAGCAAUGUAAUGCUGAAUUUCUCCAAAUCUGUUCCAAUGAAAAAACAAAUGCAUCUAUAUAUUGGGUGAAAAAUUCCUUUAAUCCCAAAAACAGACAUUCUUCAUUUAAAUGUUUUUACUUUGCUUUACUAUUACAAU